CUGAUUUUUAAAUGGCCGCAGUAUAUUAACUGUGCAAAGGUAGCAUAAUCAUUAGUUUUUUAAUUGGAAGCUUGUAUGAAUGGUUGGACGAGGCAUUUACUGUUUCAUAAAAAUUUAUAAUAUAAUUUUAUUUUUUAGUCAAAAAGCUAAAAUAUAAUUAAAAGACGAGAAGACCCUAUAGAUCUUAAUAAAUAUUUUUUAUUAUAAUUUUGAAGUUUAUUUUUAUUAUAAUAGAUUUUUUUAUUUUAUUGGGGUGAUAUUAAAAUUUAAUAAACUUUUAAUUAAAUUAUUUCAUUAAUUUAUGAAUUUUUGAUCCAUUUUUAGUGAUUAAAAAAUUAAGUUACCUUAGGGAUAACAGCGUAAUUUUCUUAGAGAGUUCAUAUCGAUAAGAAAGAUUGCGACCUCGAUGUUGGAUUAAGAUAUAAUUUUAGGUGUAGCUGUUUAAAAUUUAAGUCUGUUCGACUUUUAAAAUCUUACAUGAUC
rnacentral:rRNA from 1 species